rnacentral:rRNA from 1 species
GACGAACCGUGCGAACGUUAUUCGGAAUCACUGGGCUUAAAGCGCGUGUAGGCGGACAGGAACGUCGGCGUUGAAAGCCCCCGGCUCAACCGGGGAACGGGCGCCGAAACGACCUGUCUGGAGGGACGUAGGGGGACCUGGAACUUCCGGUGGAGCGGUGAAAUGCGUUGAGAUCGGAAGGAACGCCCGUGGCGAAAGCGAGGUCCUGGACGUUUUCUGACGCUGAGACGCGAAAGCUAGGGUAGCGAACGGG